GUAUGGCAUGCAGAUGAAAUAUAGAAGUACAUUCGCACCAAACGUGAUCAAUUACUAAGCACUCUACUAUCAAGAGUAACUCAUGAAAGAUAUGGAUAUAAAUGUCCUUUCGAUCUGAGAUUACUAUGGUGACUUGUAAGUAACUCACUGUACUUUAGUAUCAGAUUAUCUGAAUUUUUAAUUCAGUGAUGGAAGAUUUUUGGAUACAGUUAAGUACUUAUUA
rnacentral:lncRNA from 1 species